AAAGCGGUGAUGAGCAGCUAACAUGUAACAAGAUCUCAUGUAGGAAGUGGGUUCUUCAAUGAAUUCUUUUUACGCUUGGAUUCUAAGAUUU